UUGGCAGAAACACGGCUGUACCCUUUUUAUGGCCCGCCAGAUAAUUACGAGUAAAAACUUAAAAUUCAAAGGACUUGACGGUGUCCCACACACAACCUAGAGGAGCCUGUCCUAUAAUCGAUAACCCACGAUAGACCCGACCACUUUUUGCCAAACAAUCUAUAUACCGCCGUCGAAAGUUUACCUUUUGAAAGAAAAAAAGUAAACAGAGGAGCCCUCCACUAAUAUGACAGGUCAAGGUGUAGUAAAUAGGGUGGCCAGAGAUGGGCUACACUUCCUUAAAAAGGAGAAACGAACAGCUUAAUGAAACCAUGCUAGAAGGUGGAUUUAGUAGUAAAAUGGGAUUAGAAAGCCCAUUUGAACACACUGCCCUGGGACG
rnacentral:rRNA from 1 species